CUAAUAUUUGGUGAAGAGAAGGUCGAGAUGUCUCCAAAGGUGAAGAUAUGAGAUGAAGGAGCAACCCUUCCUUUCUCUUUGAUUAACAAACAUUUAGCAAAGAUUUGGGUAAGGGCUUGCCCCGCCAUCUCAGUGAGUCUUCCUUUCCCAAUGGUUCAAUAUAGCUUGCAUCUCAGAGCCUCAUUUUGAAGGUUUUCAGCAGGAGUGGUUGCUCUUCCUUGUUUCAGAAGGAAAUGGGUGACUCCAUAUUCAACACUGUUAAUACAGGUCCAAGGAAAUGUGUGAGUCUAAUAUUUGGUGAUAAGAAGGUGGAGAUGCCUCCAGAGGUGAAGAUGUGAGAUGAAGGAGCAACCCUUCCUUUCUCUCUGAUUAACAAACACUUAGCAAAGAGGUGGGUAAGGGCUUGCCCCGCCAUCUCAAUGAGUCUUCCUUUGACAGUGGUUGAAGAUAGCUUGCUUCUGAGAGCCUCAUAUUGAUGAUUUUUGGGAAGAGUGGAUGAUCCUUUUUUUCAGAGGCAAAUGGGUGACUUCACAUGCAAAGCUUCUAAUACAGGUCCAAAGGAGUGUGUGCGUCUAAUAUUUGGUGAAGAGAAGGUCGAGAUGUCUCCAGAGGUGAAGAUGUGAGAUGAAGGAGCAACCCUUCCUUUCUCUUUGAUUAACAAAUAUUUAGCAAAGAUUUGGGUAAGGGCUUGCCCCGCCAUCUCAGUGAGUCUUCCUUUCCCAAUGGUGCAAGAUAGCUUGCCUUUCAGAGCCUCAUUUUGAAGGUUUUCAGCAGGAGUGGGUGAUCUUCCUUAUUUCAGAGGGAAAUGGGUGACUCCACAUGCAAAGCUUCAAAUACAGGUUUGAAGGAGUGUGUGUGUCUAAUAUUUGAUGAAGAGAAGGUCGAGAUGUCUCCAAAGGUGAAGAUAUAAGAUGAAGGAGCAACCCUUCCUUUCUCUUUGAUUAACAAACAUUUAGCAAAGAUUUGGGUAAGGGCUUGCCCCGCCAUCUCAGUGAGUCUUCCUUUCACAACAGUACUAGAUAGCUUGCUUCUCAGAGCCUCAUUUUGUUUUUUGUUUUUUUUUUAAAUAACUUUUUAUUGAUAGAACUCAUGCCAGGAUAAUUUUUUACAACAUUAUCCCUUGCAUUCACUUCUGUUCCGAUGUUUCCCCUCCCUCCCUCCACCCCCUCCUCCAGAUGGCAAGCAAUCAUUUACAUGUUGAAUAGGUUACAGUAUAUCCUGGAUACAAUAUACAUGUGCAGAACCGAACAGUUUUCUUGUUGCACAGGGAGAAUUGAAUUUAGGAGGUAUAAAUAGCCCGGGAAGAAAAACAAAAAUGCAAGCAGUUUAUAUUCAUCUCCCAGUGUUCUUUCUUUGGGUGUAGCUGCUUCUGCCCAUCUUUGAUCAAUUGAAAUUGAAUUAGCUCUCUUUAUCGAAGAGAUCCACUUCCAUCAGAAUACAUCCUCAAACAGUAUCAUUGUUGAGGUAUAUAAUGAUCUCCUGGUCACAGCCUCAUUUUGAAGGUUUUCAGCAGGAGUGGAUGAUCUUCCUUAUUUCGGAGGGAAACGGGUGACUCCACAUGCAAAGCUUCAAAUACAGGUUUGAAGGAGUGUGUGUGUCUAAUAUUUGGUGAAGAGAAGGUCGAGAUGUCUCCAAAGGUGAAGAUAUAAGAUGAAGGAGCAACCCUUCCUUUCUCUUUGAUUAACAAACAUUUAGCAAAGAUUUGGGUAAGGGCUUGCCCCGCCAUCUCAGUGAGUCUUCCUUUCACAACAGUACUAGAUAGCUUGCUUCUCAGAGCCUCAUUUUGAAGGUUUUCAGCAGGACUGGGUGAUCUUCCUUAUUUCGGAGGGAAACGGGUGACUCCACAUGCAAAGCUUCAAAUACAGGUUUGAAGGAGUGUGUGUGUCUAAUAUUUGGUGAAGAGAAGGUCGAGAUGUCUCCAAAGGUGAAGAUAUGAGAUGAAGGAGCAACCCUUCCUUUCUCUUUGAUUAACAAACAUUUAGCAAAGAUUUGGGUAAGGGCUUGCCCCGCCAUCUCAGUGAGUCUUCCUUUCACAACAGUACUAGAUAGCUUGCUUCUCAGAGCCUCAUUUUGAAGGUUUUCAGCAGGACUGGGUGAUCUUCCUUAUUUCGGAGGGAAACGGGUGACUCCACAUGCAAAGCUUCAAAUACAGGUUUGAAGGAGUGUGUGUGUCUAAUAUUUGGUGAAGAGAAGGUCGAGAUGUCUCCAAAGGUGAAGAUAUGAGAUGAAGGAGCAACCCUUCCUUUCUCUUUGAUUAACAAACAUUUAGCAAAGAUUUGGGUAAGGGCUUGCCCCGCCAUCUCAGUGAGUCUUCCUUUCACAACAGUACUAGAUAGCUUGCUUCUCAGAGCCUCAUUUUGAAGAUUUUCAGCGGGAGGGCAUGAUCUUCCUUGUUUCAGAGGGAAAUGGGUGACUCCACAUGCAAAGCUUCAAAUACAUGUUUAGGGAAGUGUGUGUGUGACUUAAUAUUUGGUGGUGAGAAGGUUGAGAUGCCUCCAGAGGUGAUGUGAGAUGAAGGAGCAACCCUUCCUUUCUCUUUGAUUAACAAAUAUUUAGCAAAGAUUUGGGUAAGGGCUUGCCCCGCCAUCUCAGUGAGUCUUCCUUUCCCAACGGUUCAAGAUAGCUUGCUUCUCAGAUCCUCAUUUUGAAGGUUUUCAGCAGGAGUGGGUGAUCUUCCUUAUUUCGGAGGGAAACGGGUGACUUGACAUGCAAAGCUUCGAAUACAGGUUUGAAGGAGUGUGUGUGUCUAAUAUUUGGUGAAGAGAAGGUCGAGAUGUCUCCAAAGGUGAAGAUAUAAGAUGAAGGAGCAACCCUUCCUUUCUCUUUGAUUAACAAACAUUUAGCAAAGAUUUGGGUAAGGGCUUGCCCCGCCAUCUCAGUGAGUCUUCCUUUCACAACAGUACUAGAUAGCUUGCUUCUCAGAGCCUCAUUUUGAAGGUUUUCAGCAGGACUGGGUGAUCUUCCUUAUUUCGGAGGGAAACGGGUGACUCCACAUGCAAAGCUUCAAAUACAGGUUUGAAGGAGUGUGUGUGUCUAAUAUUUGGUGAAGAGAAGGUCGAGAUGUCUCCAAAGGUGAAGAUAUGAGAUGAAGGAGCAACCCUUCCUUUCUCUUUGAUUAACAAAUAUUUAGCAAAGAUUUGGGUAAGGGCUUGCCCCGCCAUCUCAGUGAGUCUUCCUUUCACAACAGUACUAGAUAGCUUGCUUCUCAGAGCCUCAUUUUGAAGGUUUUCAGCAGGACUGGGUGAUCUUCCUUAUUUCGGAGGGAAACGGGUGACUCCACAUGCAAAGCUUCAAAUACAGGUUUGAAGGAGUGUGUGUGUCUAAUAUUUGGUGAAGAGAAGGUCGAGAUGUCUCCAAAGGUGAAGGUAUGAGAUGAAGGAGCAACCCUUCCUUUCUCUUUGAUUAACAAACAUUUAGCAAAGAUUUGGGUAAGGGCUUGCCCCGCCAUCUCAGUGAGUCUUCCUUUCACAACAGUACUAGAUAGCUUGCUUCUCAGAGCCUCAUUUUGAAGGUUUUCAGCAGGAGUGGGUGAUCUUCCUUAUUUCGGAGGGAAAUGGGUGACUCCACAUGCAAAGCUUCAAAUACAGGUUUGAAGGAGUGUGUGUGUUUAAUAUUUGGUGAAGAGAAGGUCGAGAUGUCUCCAAAGGUGAAGAUAUGAGAUGAAGGAGCAACCCUUCCUUUCUCUUUGAUUAACAAACAUUUAGCAAAGAUUUGGGUAAGGGCUUGCCCCGCCAUCUCAGUGAGUCUUCCUUUCACAGCACUACUAGAUAGCUUGCUUCUCAGAGCCUCAUUUUGAAGAUUUUCAGCGGGAGGGCAUGAUCUUCCUUGUUUCAGAGGGAAAUGGGUGACUCCACAUGCAAAGCUUCAAAUACAUGUUUAGGGAAGUGUGUGUAUGACUUAAUAUUUGGUGGUGAGAAGGUUGAGAUGCCUCCAGAGGUGAUGUGAGAUGAAGGAGCAACCCUUCCUUUCUCUUUGAUUAACAAACAUUUAGCAAAGAUUUGGGUAAGGGCUUGCCCCGCCAUCUCAGUGAGUCUUCCUUUCACAACAGUACUAGAUAGCUUGCUUCUCAGAGCCUCAUUUUGAAGGUUUUCAGCAGGACUGGGUGAUCUUCCUUAUUUCGGAGGGAAACGGGUGACUCCACAUGCAAAGCUUCAAAUACAGAUUUGAAGGAGUGUGUGUGUCUAAUAUUUGGUGAAGAGAAGGUCGAGAUGUCUCCAAAGGUGAAGAUAUGAGAUGAAGGAGCAACCCUUCCUUUCUCUUUGAUUAACAAACAUUUAGCAAAGAUUUGGGUAAGGGCUUGCCCCGCCAUCUCAGUGAGUCUUCCUUUCACAACAGUACUAGAUAGCUUGCUUC